rnacentral:pre_miRNA from 1 species
CAAAUUUGUCCUAAGUCAAACUUUUCUAACUUUGACUAAGUUUUAGGAAAAUAUAUUGACAUGUACAAGUUCAAGUAAAUGCACUAUCUAGACAUUUUAUAGAGAAUUUAGUGAAACUAGUUUGAUAGUGUAGAUAUCGAUUCCAUUUUCUAUAAAUUUGAUCAAAGUUAGAGAAGUUUGACUUAGACCAAAGCUAA